rnacentral:misc_RNA from 1 species
GAAAUGCGAUAAUUAAUGUGAAUUGCAGAAUUCAGUGAAUCAUCGAGUCUUUGAACGCACAUUGCGCCCCCUGGUAUUCCGGGGGGCAUGCCUGUCCGAGCGUCAUUGCUGCCCUCAAGCACGGCUUGUGUGUUGGGCUUCCGUCCCUGGCAACCGGGACGGGCCCAAAAGGCAGUGGCGGCACCAUGUCUGGUCCUCGAGCGUAUGGGGCUUUGUCACCCGCUCCCGUAGGUCCAGCUGGCAGCUAGCCUCGCAACCAAUCUUUUUAACCAGGUUGACCUCGGAUCAGGUAGGGAUACCCGCUGAACUUAAGC